ACGCGUGGGAACGUGCCUUUCGGUUCGGAAUAACUCAGGGAAACUUGGGCUAAUACCGGAUACGCCCUUCGGGGGAAAGAUUUAUCGCCGAAAGAUCGGCCCGCGUCAGAUUAGCUUGUUGGUGAGGUAACGGCUCACCAAGGCGACGAUCUGUAGCUGGUCUGAGAGGAUGAUCAGCCACACUGGGACUGAGACACGGCCCAGACUCCUACGGGAGGCAGCAGUGGGGAAUAUUGGACAAUGGGCGCAAGCCUGAUCCAGCCAUGCCGCGUGGGUGAAGAAGGCCCUAGGGUUGUAAACCCCUUUCAGCGGGGAAGAUAAUGACGGUACCCGCAGAAGAAGCUCCGGCUAACUCCGUGCCAGCAGCCGCGGUAAUACGGAGGGAGCUAGCGUUGUUCGGAAUUACUGGGCGUAAAGCGCACGUAGGCGGACUUUCAAGUCAGGGGUGAAAUCCCGAGGCUCAACCUCGGAACUGCCUUUGAUACUGUAAGUCUUGAGUCCGAGAGAGGUGAGUGGAAUUCCUAGUGUAGAGGUGAAAUUCGUAGAUAUUAGGAAGAACACCAGUGGCGAAGGCGGCUCACUGGCUCGGUACUGACGCUGA
rnacentral:rRNA from 1 species